UCCCUGGUGGUUCAGUGGCUAAAACUCCAUGCUUCCAAUGCAGGGGGCCCAGGUUUGAUCCCUGGUCAGGGAA
rnacentral:tRNA from 1 species